UUGAUGUCUAAUCUGGGGUCUGUAGAGGAUGAGCUUCUUGAAUGGAGUUGUUCCACACGUCAUCUAAUUUUCAGUAAUUUUGAAAGUAUGCUUCUCCAAUACAGAAGCGCGCGGUUUACGAAAAGAAAACUGGCAACUAAUCAGCCGUGUAACCAACUCCAACCAUUAUUGCUCCAACAACCAUUGAUUGUGCUAUUACUCGGAGUCUCAUGAGACUCCUCAACUGCUGGUGAUGCAAAUUCGGCAACCUCUUCCGCGGUCGGUGUUCUUCUUGCUGACAUUUCGCGUGA